rnacentral:rRNA from 1 species
AGGGAAUAUUGGUCAAUGGAUGCAAGUCUGAACCAGCCAUGCCGAGUGCAGGAAGAAGGCCAUCUGGGUCGUAAACUGCUUUUGCCAGGGGCUAAAAAGCCCAUGCGUGGGAAAUUGCAAGUACCUGGUGAAUAAGCCACGGCUAAAUACGUGCCAGCAGCCGCGGUAAUACGUAGGUGGCAAGCGUUGUCCGGAUUUAUUGGGUUUAAAGGGUGCGUAGGCGGCCGUAUAAGUCAGUGCUGAAAUAUCCCGGCUUAACCGGGAGGGUGGCAUUGAUACUGUAUGGCUUGAGUGUAGUCGGGGUAGGCGGAAUUGACGGUGUAGCGGUGAAAUGCUUAGAUAUCGUCAAGAACACCGAUAGUGUAGACAGCUUACUAGGCUACAACUGACGCUGAGGCACGAAAGUGUGGGGAUCAAAC